rnacentral:lncRNA from 1 species
CCUACAUAAGGCAGCCUCCCAGGCUCCUGUGAGCUCAGGACACCUGCUACCUUCCAUUGGAAUCUUUCAGUUUCAGCUUCAACUAGAGGUAAAGAAGUCUGAUCAUGAGGCCUCUUGGCAUCGUCCUGCUGCUCUCCCUGACUCUAUGCUGCUUCUUGUAUGCUGCACGAGCUGAAGUCCGAAAUCCUGUCUGCUAUGACAUGCCAGGAUGCACCAAAGAAUAUAGCCCUGUCUGUGGCACCAAUGGAAAGACUUAUGGCAAUGAAUGCCUGCUAUGUCAGGAAAAUAAAUUAAGAGAUGUUCAUAUCCGAAUCAGAAAAGAAGGGAGGUGCUGAGGAACCACGAUAUCCUUCAUCCCAGUAGGACAGCAUCAUAGCUGGCCAGCCUGAUUCUUCAAUAAAUACAUAAGAUUGAUUCCUGC